GCAACUUCUCGGCCUUUUGGCUAAGAUCAAGUGUAGUAUCUGUUCUUAUCAGUUUAAUAUCUGAUACGUCCCCCAGCGGGGGACUACAUAUUAAGCGGAUUUUUAGAACAGGGAGUCGGCAAAGGAGCUUGCUCCAUCUGCUCCACGCAUCGACCCAGUAUUGCAGCGCCUCCGGGAGCGGUGCACUUUCU
ensembl:snRNA U2 U2 spliceosomal RNA